rnacentral:lncRNA from 1 species
AUUUUGUCCGGAGGUUCAGCCACCUCUCUUGUCAAGGCACAGCAGGGGCUGUUGCUUGCCUGGGAACCCUGCCAAAGCUGUAACAGCACUCAAUUCACCUAGCAGGGGCCACCUGCUUCAGGGGCAUUGUGGACCAGUCCUCUGGACACUAGUUUUUGGAAGAAGGGACUUGACAGCCCCGGUGAGUGGUGAGAUUGAGUGGCACCAGGUGGACUGCUUGCCUGAGGCCGCUCACCCCAUGCAACUGCAAUUCCCAAGCCUUUUCCCUGGAUGUCAGCCUCUAUCCACAGCGAGGUGUCUCUUGAAAAUGGCUAUAAAACUUCUUGUCAAAUUGGAGUACUUUGGAAUAUUUAGGAAAAGUUGGCAGAGAGGAGACAGGACUAAAGUGCAGCUCCCACUUGGAUGAACUGAACAGUGUGUGGAGACUCACAUUGUGAAUUUUUGCUCCAAGAACUACCUCAGGAACAUACCAGAAAAACCAAAAGAAUUCACAGACCCUUUGAAAAAAGUGGCUUGCCAGUGCAAACUCCAUGAGACAGCUGAAAAACUGUGCUCUCUGUACACAGAGGGUUUUGUCUGUUUGGUCACCGAUAUAUCUUCAGUGCCCAGAACAGUGCAUGGCAAUGGCAGACUCUCAACUGAUGGUUUAAAGAGGUUGUCUUUUCCAAGGCCCAUCACCUGCUUCACAGAAUUUUCAGCUCUUUUGACAAUUUCCAAGACAAGGGAUGAGUUCCAGCCACCAUGUCAUGAGGAGACCCUGGAUACCCCAGCUCAGAGCCUAGAGUGAGUAUUUGCAUUGAAGAGGAAACGUCGUAUAUUUGAAAUUUUCCAUUUUCUAGACUAUGCUUUGGGUCUUCAACUUCCACGCCAACACCAGAGGAUAAGUAUUUGAGACCCCCACAUUGGUCAUCCAACUAUGAAAAAAUUCUCAUUUUAAGCAUAUACAGCUUAAAAAAAGAAUCAACUUCAUGUAUUUGGAAAACCGUAAGUGCCAUCUUCCAUCAUUCAAAAAUGUCUGUAACAGACCAGCAUUAUUGACAGUUCUGAGCUAGACCGAAGGAACUCUUUUCUAUGACUUCAACAGAAAUAUUUUGUUAUUACAAUGUUUGCAAACAUUUUUAAGGUAUUGUUCAGUCAAAUGAUAGUCCCUAUAGCUUGCAACUCAAAAUAUCAUGGUGGUGAAAUACUCAUUAGUCACCUGCUAUAACUUCAAUGGAAUGUGCUAGGACACGGAGUUUGUAAAAGCAGAUAUUGUCUUGUUAAGCUGUCAGGUCCCAUAAUGUACAGCCUCACGCAAGGACACUGUCAUCAGGAAAAAGGCUUAGAUUAUGUGCUCCAAGUACACCAAGAAACUGGUUUCUGGAAACCCGACUUUUCAAUGAACGCUUGUUAAAGCAGAGUUAAUGUGUUUCCUACUGUUAUAACAAUGACGUGUGAGUCACAUAUGUGGUUUCGAGAUUCCUAAACUGGAUCUGCCUGGCUGCUGAUGUAAUCAGAAAUAACCUCUGGCUGUUUGAGACUAUAAUAUUCUGGAGGAAAACUGCCCAGCUGAUGCAACUGCUGAUUUUUGUUAACGCUAUCACCAACAUUCCCAGCAUUCAAAAUUCUUUAAGAUAUUAUUAUUCAUUAAUACUUUGUUUUAGAUAUUAUUAUUCAUUAAUACUUUGUUUUCAUUUGGAAAAUUUAUUUACUAUCAAAGCAAAAUAUUUUUGGGAUUCAGCCUGUAAAUUUAUCUUAAUUCUCACUGUCCUCACUGUCUGAAGGUCCUUUGUUAUUGGGGAAAAGAAUGUGGGGUUAGGUGUCAGGCAGAUUUGCACUUGAAUUUCAGCUCUGUCACUUACCUGUGUGAUUUCAGAGAGGUUACUGAACCUCUCUGAGCCUUGAGUUUCUAAUUUGGAAAAACAGGAAAUUAUUCCUAUCUCACAAUGUUCUGAAAAUAAAGUUAGACAUAGAGCAGCAUUUGGAAAAACAAGAGAGUACAACAUAGACAACCAGGUAUUUGGACCUAGGCUUGCCUCUAGGGAGCCUGGCUUGAUGAAUCUGCUGGGUUUUGAGCCCUGUGGGCCCUCCAGCUGGGCUGUCCUCCCCAAGCCCUAAACAAGGGAUUCAUUCAAACUCCCUAGGUCUUCACAGAAAGCAAGAGAAAAAUGAUGAGAGGAGGUUGUUGAGCCAGUUGCUUGCAAGAGCAGUCUUUCCUAUGGGAUGCCAUCAGUCAGUUGUUAAGUUUACAAAGCAGCAGGAAUAUGUAACUGAGAAUUUUGACUUUCAAAAUUUCUAUGAGCAGCCUCUUGGUAUCAGAACAAGAAGAUGGCAGUUGUGAAAGGAAGAAGAUCAUGAAAAUGCUGCAAUUUCAGAGGGGCAGAGAUCAGGGCAGAAAAAGAAAUCAUAAGCUUCCUGACACCUGAGGCUGAUUCGUUAAGCAGGAAAGAGGAGGAUGCUUACAAGGUGUUUCAACCACCAGGGACCCAAAAGGUGGGAGUGUAAAUUAGUUCAACCAUUGUGGAAGACAGUGUGGUGAUUCCUCAAGGAUCUAGAACUAGAAAUACCAUUUGACCCAGCAAUCCCAUUACUGGGUAUAUACCCAAAGGAUCAUAAAUCAUCCUACUAUAAAGACACAUACACACGUAUGUUUAUUGCAGCACUAUUCACAAUAGCAAAGACUUGGAACCAACCCAAAUGCCCAUCAAUGAUAGACUGGAUAAAGAAAGUGUGGCACAUAUACACCAUGGAAUACUAUGCAGCCAUAAAAAAUAAUGAGUUCAUGUCCUUUGCAGGGACAUGGAUGAAGCUGGAAACCAUCAUUCUCACUAAACUAACACAAGGACAGAAAACCAAACAAACACUGCAUAUUCUCACUCAUAAGUGGGAGUUGAACAAUGAGAACACAUGGACACAGGGAGUGGAACAUCACACACUGGGGCCUGUCAGGGGGUGGGGGGCUAGGGGAGGGAUAGCAUUAAGAGAAAUACCUAAUGUAGAUGACAGGUUGAUGGUUACAGCAAACCACCAUGACACACGCAUACCUAUACAUGCAUACCUAUGUAACAAAAACUGGACGUUCUGCACAUGUACCCCAGAACUUAAAGUAUAAUAAAAAAGAAAGAAGCACAAAGGAUUUGCUCUGAGGACCACACCACAGUACCUGUGUCCUUAGUCACCUUCCAGUUAGAAAGCAUUUCCAUAUAUACCAUGCAUUUUCAGCCUCGCCCCACACUAUGAGUCAGGAAUCCCAUUUUGAGAGAUGAAAAACUACAGGCACAGAAACCCUGGAUGACCUAAAAAUUCUCUGUGAAAUCACGCUAGAUAAAUAGCCACAUGUUGCUGCAGUGCGGUAAGUGUCCUUUGGUUUAGACUUCUUUCUUAAUUGCAUCAUGAAAUUGAAUUAUAUCCCGAAGACCUGGGAAAGAGCAGAAGAUGUUAUGCAGUUUAUAAAGUCUUUUCAUGUUUUUGGUGUGUUCCAUUCCAAAGGAAGCAAAAGGAAAAUUUGAAAUGCUGACUUUAAUAGUGAAACUCCAUGUUGUGGAUUCACUAUGUUCUUAAGUUUAUUUUUUAAAAGAAGAAGAAAAAUCUUUAAGGAAUAGUAAGCAUCUUUAUCUUAUCAAAAUCUGAUAUCCAAAUGAGAAAUUGCUUCCUCUUUCUAAAAAUAAUAAGCACUUACUAUAUUCUGGACAGUAUAAACACUUUGCAAUCAUUAUCCCCUCAACUCAAUGGAGUGGGUAUUAUUACUAUCCUUUUAUUAGAGAUGUAGAAUAGGAGACUGAGAGAAUUUUUAAGUGACUAGCCUAAGAACAGUCAGCUUCUAUGUGGUAGACCCAGGAUCUGAACACAUUCUGAUGCCAAAGCAUGUUUCUCUUAUUCCUAAUUGCAACCCUACACAAACUGUACUGGCAGAGCAUACACAUUUUUUCACGGAAUUAUGAAAAAAAAAAGCCUCAUGAGGUAAGAAAUACCACUUUAAAUUUUCAGAUAAGAAAACUGACUACAUGAUUUCUCUAUUUCAUGCAAGUAGACAGGUGAAGAUUCAGAAUAGCUCUAAGGCUGAAACUGGAACCCAGAACCCUUGAGUCUAGAACAACCUAAAUCGGUUCCUUCUUUGUAUCUGGCAUUGUGAGUCCUCAUGAGAAAAAAAUUGGGGGUUAGUGCAAAAUUUAUUUCUCCAUAAGCAAGCAACUGUUAAGUUGUACAGAGAUUUACAUACAACAACUGGGACCAUCCCACUUACUGCCCAAAUACUCAUUCGCUCAAUUGCCAACUAACAUUUAUUGAGUACCAAGUAUAUACAAGGCAUUGUCAAGUCUUGGAGUACAGAAUAAGCAAAGAAAGAGUAAAAGAUGUCUGUAACCUUCAUGGUACUUAUUGGGUCCCCCAAUGCCUUCUUCACCAGGCACACUUUCCCAAUAUUGAUGGAAAAAGAAAUCUAUUGUUAAAUCUCAGUGAUUUUCUUUGAACUUUUUUCCUGAAAUCCCCAUUGCCUUUGGCAUAAUCUGGCUACUUCCUGGGUUCUACCAAGCUUUGGCCCAAUGAGGGUGACUUCGGUGACUCUUUAACAAAUACCUUAGACACCCCCUCAUUUACUAGCCUGGAUUAACAAACAGCUUGUCCUGAGCAACUCUGGAUGUAGCCAAUACCAUGCAGUGACCUCAGAGCACAAACAUCUGCCUCAAUGUUAUCCUGAGGGCAGACAUCUGCUCAGGGAGUUUUUCUGGACUUUUCUUGAGAUGGCUUGAUCUCUACUGGGAGAUCACCUUCUGGGUUCUAUGGAUGGACUAUAUAUUCCAAUAUGUCUGCUGUCUGGAAGCUGUCAAAGAUAGAUUCCUUGGAGUGGUGAUGAAAGUGCCUUGUUUGUUUGGCUUCCCUGAAUGCAGAGGACUGGAAAGAAGCAAUCUUAUAGGAUGAUUGGCCAUUAGCGGUUUCCAGUUGACUUUGCCAGACCCAGAAGAGCUAUGUCUGACCUAACCUCUGCUUCAAGGAGACUACACACAAAUAUAAAUAAUCAGUUUCCAAGGCUAGUGUCCACCUCGUGGUAUCCUGGUCCCCUCUGCGUUGUAAUGUAUACCUCAGUAUCUUAGUAACUGCUGAAGAGAGACGCUUGGUUGAGACGACCAGUAUAGAUUGCAGUCUCAGUAAAAGGCAGGGUCCAUGUGUGCACAUCUUUUUACAGUUAACAAGAUCCUGCUAUUUCUAAUACUUCACUCAGUACUCAUGAUAAUAUCAAAAGGCAAAUUUUGUUAUUCUCAGGUCACAGAUGAAGAAACUAAUGUACAAAGCUAGUGGCAGAACUGGGACUAAACACUGGGUCUAACAACUACCAAAUAAUUCUCCAUCUUCUACUUUAUCAUAAGAUGAAAUGAUUAUUAUAAUAGGAAGGACUUCCUUGAAAUUUUAUAUACAUACAUAUAUAUAUAGCAUCUAGCCCUGUGCAUUACAUAAAGUAGUCCCUUAGUAAGGAAUAGCUUUUUUUUUUUUUUUAAUGUAAGGCAGCACAGUAUAAUUGUUCAGCCAUGAGAAAGGAGGUUAACUUGAGAUAACAUCCAGUUACUCAGACCAGGUACUUAGUCUCUUCGGAUAUUCAUUUUCUUAUCUAAAAAUGGGAUAAUGAUUAAAAACUUUCUAAGGUUAGCAUGAGAAUUGUAUAGCUAGAAGACAGGAAUUUGCUCCCUACGACUGAGGUGCAACUUUUGUAAGAUAGAGUGGGAGGGAACACUCACCUCCUUUCUAGGCUGCAUACAAAGACCCAGGAUACUUCCAUGGCACCUGAAAAAUGGAAGAGUAUACUCUAUUUUUAAAUCCACAGCUAUUCACUGAGAUGUAAAAUGAAAAUGUUUCCAUUCACAAACACAGAACUCUGCCAUCACGCUAAGGCUUUUUUUUGCAAAUAUCCUAAGGCUUUGCCUCUCAGUGAUCAAUUUCAUGGCACCAUGGACCACCCCAUCAAAGACCCUGGCACUCCUCAGGUGCUGUGUGAGUUCCUGGCACUGGUGGGACCUGCCACAGCAUGCUCCCCCACCCUAGGCUCUAGGAUGAUAACCUUCACUUACCUUGCAAUCUCAGUAGAAGGCAGUGUUCGUGUGUGCACAUGUAGGGCCAGUUCUGCCUCCUUCUCCACUUCAUAUGCCAGCUUCCCUCAAUAUCUCAAUACAUUCUUCAAACAAAGGCCUGAGAGUGGGAGUAGAUAAGGGCAUUUUUGUUAGAUGUCUUCUCUUUUCAGGGCUGCAACACAAAAGCCUCUAAUAAUGCCCUCAGGGAAAAAGAACAUAUAUUCCAUACACAUUUUUUCCAACCUUCUAUCAAUCAUAUAGAAAACACUAAUUAAUAUUCCAAUAAGUUGUCCUGCCAAAGAGGAGGAGGAGGAGGAGAACUAAUAUAUGUAAAGUGUCAAGUAUAGUAUCAUAUGGCAUACCAUAAACACUUAACUACUGUAUUAUUGUAGUUUUCUUGGUUGUAUAACUACUGUAUACAAUUGCAGAACUACUGUAUUAUUGUAUAACUGCUGUAUUAUUGUAUAACUACCGUAUAACUACUGUAUUAUUGUAGUUUGUAUAACUACUGUAUUAUUGUAGUUUUAUUUUACUGAGACUGCCCUGUGAUGCUUUAGUACUUCCUUUCAAUGCUUUGCCAAAAUAGGGCAGGACCUUAAAAUGAGAAACUGUGAUAUAAGCACUUUGUCACAUGAACAAUUAUCAGGCUCUCUAAAAUAAGUAAAAAUUAGAUCCUGAAGCCUCAUCUAGGCCUUUCCUUGUUUACCUACUUUUUAAAUGUAGUUUGGCUUGGUCCAAGAAAGGGAAUUUGUCAUAUAUUGAUGUGGGGCAAUAUCAUUUGUGCAAGUAUCAUAAAUGUAAUGGUAGCAGUUCCAAACCAGAAGUAUCUUAAAAGAAUAAUGCACUAUGACUAAGCAGGAUUCAUUCCAGAAAUGCAAGGAUGGUUCAAUACUGAAAAUGUUGAUAACUGCAUUACAUCAUUUCAUUAAGUGAUUAACAGAGCAAAAAACAGAUAACAAUAAAUUUACUAUACUGUCUGGAUUCAACUAGAAAUAGUAGAGAAGGAAUAGAGCAAUAGUUUUGACAUGGUAAAGAAUAUCUGAAGUCAAUUUCGAACAAACACCAGGUUCAUUACCACUAAAUUUGAGAACAAGAUACAGAUGUCCACUAUCACCUAUUAUUAUUUAACAUUAUUUAGGAUGUUUGUUUAAGUCAGAAAAAUAAAGUAAAAAGCAAUAUAACUAUUCAAAAAGGGAGAUUUAAAAAUUAAUCAUUAUUUUCUGUUUCUUAACCCUGAAAAAACAAACAAACAAAAAUCUUCCUUGAGUUUAGAAUGGCUAAUGGUUACAAAUAAAUACAUACAAAUCAAUGUAUUCUCUAUAAAACUGCAGUAUGUAAUGGAAAUGUUAAUAGAAAAUAGAGUAAAUUUAUUGUAUUAAUCAAAUGAUGUAACAUCUAAAAAUAAAUAUAUAAAAAAUAACUUAAAAUUUGUACAGACGUAUAUGCAAAAACUAUAACUAACUAUAUAACUCUUAGAAGAGAAGAUAGGAGUAAAUUUUUAUGACCUUUGGUUAAGCAAAUCUUUCUUAUCUGGGACAGCAAAAAAAAAACCAAUGUUUUGUUUUUUGAAACACUGAAAAAAAAAAUGGAUAAAUUGAAUUCCAGACCACAGAACUGGAUAAAAUGUGGUGGCAAGAGAUAACCCUUCUAAAUGUGAGGGCAAAGUUGGGACAUUAGUAGAUCCAGAAUUCGAGAAGAUCACUCUGGCUUCCAUGUUGGAAGUUGUAUUGGAGCUGGGAGCUUUUAACAGGGGGAAAAGCUGGGAGUAUGGGAUUAGUUUAUGGCUGAUGACAGGUAGAGCCAAACAAGAACAGAGAUGGGGUUGGUCGAGCCUCAUGCUUUAGAGAAAUAAAGGAGAAUGCACCUGUCAAUAGAGCCAUGGUUUGGGCAACUAGGCCAUUAUGGGAACAUGUCAAAAACAUACAUAGAGUGGUAGAUGAUUGAUAGACUACAAUGGAAAUUUGAUUAAAGUGUUCCAAACACCCUCUUUAAGUAAAAGGUUCACCCUGAAGUCCUUCUCUGAUCUUUGCUGAAACAAUUAGACAAGAUUUAAAGUUUCUUUAUAAACCAGAAGGGCUAUUGGACAGUGUGACUCCAUAGAACAAUGCCCUUUGGACAUACAAGGCCAAGCUCUGACACUCACAAAUAUCAUGGGUGUGUGCGAGUUACUUAACAAACCUGAGCAUUAGUUUCCAUUUCACUAAAACAGAAAUAGUAAUCUUUCCCAUGUAGGACUACAGUGUACAUGGGAAGGGCCUGGCUCAGACCAUGCAGCCAAUAAAUGCAGAUUCUCCUCUCUUUCUCUCUUCAGUGAUGCAUCCCAGCCUUCAACCCACUAAUGAUUCUCCCUGUGGGUUUCUACAUGUGCUCUCUACAGUUGAAAUUUGCUGCUUUGUUAUUUUUCUUAGGGAAUAUAUAAAGAAACCAUCAUGGCCUUUUCCCAAUCUAUUGUUUUAUAACUCCAUAAUCUUCAUCUGUACCUCUUCUCUGAUAUUUCAUCUUAUUUAAUUAUAUAUUUAGCAAACCUAAUCCUGCUUCCCAAUGAUACUUGCAUGAGCUCAGAGGCAUUGCUAAAAUAAGACCCCCUGCUACCAGCAGUGCCAGUCAGUAGGUGACACUACUGACUACUUUCCUCUCCUCUCGAAGUGGCUUCAAUGAUGGAUGACAUGCUCAGUGCUCAAGACUCAGCUCCACUUUCAGAGUCUGCCUGUCCAUCACUGUCUGUCCCCCGAGGAUGAGCAGCAGAUGACCAAGGGUGGCUUCCUACCUGAUGCCAGCUAGUGUUGUGAAUGGACCUCUUAGUUUGAGAAGGAACCAGGUUGGGCACAGAAUGAUUUUUGGCAGACAACAAGGAGGAUGAGUCAAGGCAGAAAGCAGAACUGAGCCAUGGUGAACUUUAGUCACCAGAAUGGCAUUUGCCAUUCAACAAACAUUUAUCAAGCUGUGCUGUGGACUGCUAAUUUCUCACACAUCAUCUCACCAACUCCUCAGUUACCCCAUGAACAGGCAUUAGCCCCUUGUUUUACAGAUGAGAAAGCAGACACAGACAUGUUAGGUAACCUUCUGUUAGGCCUCAGCUCCUAAUUGCUAAAUUAUCCUUCAGAUAAGGAGUUGUUUCUUCCAAGUCCCAGAUACUCUGCAUCAACAUGAAAUGUGUUUGCCCUGGAAGUGUGUUCAUGAAUCCUGUCUACGAUUACCUGAGAAGGUCUCAGGUUGAAGAGGAUAAGAUUUCAAAUCCUAGAGUUAUACUUUUCUUAGGACAACGUGUCCACCUUCCCCCACCCUAAAACACACAUUCCCCAGCUCUACAUGUUUAUUCCUAAAUUCUGCAGUGAUUUACUGAACACCUCCCAUGUGCCUGGCAUCAUGCUUAGUUCCACUAAUACAGAGAAAACCAAAGACUGGGACAGGGUCUUUGCCAACACAAUAGCUUCGAGUCAAGCAGAGAAUAUAUCUAACCUGUGUCUGUACAAAAAGUGAGACUGCAGCUGUCAGCUCCUACUUUCCCCAGGCCAAAUCUCCAGCAACCCACAAGGCCUUCAGCUUACAAGUCCAGCCCUACCCUGCCUUACCUGAAUCAAUGCAGCAGUGUGGUACAUAAUUUAGAAGCAUAGUCCAAUACCGUCUCCUCUCUGAGAGCAGUCAUGUGCUGGUCACUGCUACUGUGUCUGUUGUCUGGUGAGUCAGCUCUCUGCCCCUGGGCUGCUACAGAACACCUCCAUCUAGGACAAGAUGUACUCAUUGAUACCCCAGCCUCCCCCUCACUCCUGACACAAGUCUCAUUUCCUGCUUUGACAAGUGCCUGGUCUGACACCUUAGGUUUCUUGGCUGGGGUCUUGAGGACCUAUCUCUUUCAAAUUGCCUUCUUCCAGAGGGCCCAUUCUCAGCCCUAUGCCCUUCUGUUAAUAAAUGAAGCUGUUUUCUAAACCCGACAAGACCAGAAUCAACCAUGCAGACUGAAGGAAUGAAGACAUGUGGCCCAUGGCUCUCCUCUUCAGAGCAGCUUCCUGUAGGUCUUUUUUUUUUUUUUUUUUGGCAAUUUUAUAACUUUGAUAUAUUUGACAAUCACUGGUUAGUUCUCAUCCACGUUGACUGUCUGUAGAUUCUUGAGAGCGGUAGCAGGUACAUAGGCAACCAAAGUAUACAACUUACUUAAUGAGGAUCUUCAUCCUCAUUACGUUUUCUGGACAACUGCACAUAGAUACUGUAUGGGACAUUCUUUAUUCCUUUGGCCCAGACAGGUCUGUUGAACCUAGUAUCAAUGCACACAUCUGGAAUUCCCAUCUCCUUCAUGGCAAAUUUCCAGAUCUCUUUGAAUGUCCAAGGGGGAUGUUUCUUGAAGCCCACUUCAUGGAUGUGCUUGUGAAUGAUGUUGGUGUAUUCUCCGGUCACUGCUUCAUUGAUGGCAGAAUGGCCCUUUUUCUUCUCACCACCCUUCUUUGCGGGAGCCACUCUGCCAGGCCCAAGUUGGAAAGUGAGAUCUUUGUAAAUAUUUAAUGUAAUAUUGUGUACUUCUAUAGGGCAGAUUCUCAAGCCUGGGCACAUACUUGGUUGAUGCUCAUUACUCUAUGUCUAGAUACUAGCUAGAGAGCGAACAUUGCUCCAACCAGUUGUCACUAGGAAGACCGUGGGAAGAUCACUCUACUGCUCUGUGGACCAGUUUCACCCUGAAUGAAAGAGGAGAAAAUUGGGGCUGAAAGGCAGUAAUAACUGAAAAAUGGCAUUAGAUACUCUAAAGAUUGUACACAGGCAAUGCUUGAGUCUAUAUACAAUUUUUGGUUUUCUGUAAAGGAACAGAGUAAUCCAGGAACUCCUCAGGAAAGCAUUAACUGGAGGAACUUUUGGGAGCCACAGCCAUACAUUGUGUAAUCUGCAUAAUUCUUACGCAAUCACUCUGGGAGGUGGUCCCUAUUAUGGCUCCAUUUAGAGCUGAGAAAACUGAGACUCAGAAAAUUUGAGUGAAGUUAGGAAGAUAAGAUCAAUUUGAGCUUUUUGGAAUUUCCAGGUGACUCACUGCAUGGAAUACACACUGCCCCAUGGUUUGAAUCUGCCACUAUUGAUACUAACUAUGAACUGCAUGCUUUGUCUAUGCCAAGCUCCAUUCAGAAACUACAACAUGGUUCCUUCCAUAAAGAUACAUGAGGUUACUUUGCAAGGUUCUCCUUGGCCCUGCUACCCGAAGAGCAGCACCUACAGCAGCCAAUACAGGUUAUGUGAGCACACAUGCUAACUCUUCAAGGUCCAUCUUAUAAACCCAUGGGAAUAAUGCUCUGUAUCUGUCUGGAACCUUAUAGUUAUACAUCUUGCAUCUGUACCACACUAACUCUGCAAGUUCAUGAAGGGCAGGUAUCACUACCCUCAUUCAUUGAGUCACUGAUUUAUGUAUACAUCGAUUGUGGCAUUAAUUCAACAAAUAUUUACUGAGUACUUACCUGUGCCAGGCUCUGUGCUGAUUCAUAGAGGAAAAUGAUGUAAAUAAGGCUUAUCUGACUCUCAAGCAGCACAGUCUUGGGGUGGGUACAGUUUCCCAAAUAGACAAUAACUUUGAGGGUUUAAGUGCUUUAACUGUAGAGCUAUAACUGAGAGGACAAGGAACUCUGCCCAGUGCUUUCAGAAUGGUUUCAAAGAGAAGGCAGAAUUAGAGAGGCUGGAGUGCAUGUGGAAUACCUUGAUGCCAGGUUAAGGUUCUGAACUUUAUCCUGACGGACAUGAGAUGUACGCUCAGAGCAAUUAGAGACAUUGUCUGGGCUGCAAGAAGUGUAUUUACCAUUCUUGUUUUUCUAUAAAGGCACAGAGUAAUCCAGGAACUCCUCAGGAAAGUACUGGCUGGAGGAACUUUGGGAGCAACAGCAUGGUUUGAUAGAAAGAGAUCAGAGGAGAAAGAGAGGAAAAUAGCGCCAAAUGGGUAGCUGCUAUGUGUUAGAAGCUUAUAUAUGUUAUCUUGGGGGCACCAAGGACAUGAUUUCAACCCCACAUUAGAAAUAGAGAAAGAUCCAGGAAGCCUGGUUUCAGAUCCAGGUCUCACCUCUUCUUCCUGGUCAUGAGACCUUGGGAAGAUCACACUACUGCUCUGUGGACCAGUUUCACCCUGGAUGGAAGAGGAGAAAACUGGAGCUGAAGGGAGGCAGUAACUGGAAAAUGGUAUUGCAUACUUUAAAGGCUGUACACAGACAAUGCUUUGUGUUUGCUUGUUUGAAUAGGGAAUAACCAAAACCUCAUGGUAUCCCUAGGCCCAUUCUAAGAAAGCAGGCAGGGAACAGAAAGGAGCUACAGGAGGCAUGGAAGGGAAGGGGAGAAGAAUAAGAAUCAGGCCUGGGUUACAAUCAGCAUUCACAUCCCAGCUCACGGCAUGAACACAGGUGCAUCACUUCAUUGUGCCCAGCAUUUCUUUCCACACAAAGAGAGGGUCUUUCCAGUAUCAGGACUCUGUGCGUACAAGUCAGUAGAGAAGGAGGUAGUUGCUCUGUAGAUACAAGAGCAAUGGAGGCAAAAAAAAAAAAAAAAAAAAAGGCAAGUCCUAAGCAUACACUACCCACCCUGUCCCAACCCCACUUGCAUGAUUCUGGAAUUUCUUUCUGUUUCAUGCAGACAGGAAGCCACUUAGUAGAGGCUUACAGGAAAGCUGAGGGCUCAUUUUCUCUCCACCUGGAAAAGGAAAAAAAAAAAUCUGUUCCAUUAAAAUAAAUGGAUAAAUAAAUCUCCUCCAACUUCUGAGUCUCUUGUUUGGGUGAGCAGCACUGCACUUUGUCUAGUGCCCCAGCUGAACACCUAACAACCACUCCAGUCACUCUCAUCUCCCACAUCCAAGUGAUCCCCAAGCCCCACGGAUUCUAGCUCCCUAACCAUUCUCCAUUCUAGCUCCCUAACCAUUCUCCCCUUCCUUCUCACUCCAAGUUAUUUGCUUCCCUCCCUCACAACUUGUUCCCUGGUCUGUGGCACCAAUUGUUGCCUAAAUGGACUUCCUGUCCCUAUUCAUUUCUCCCCAGUCUCAAACUGUCAUGAGAUCUUGCAUUCACACCUGUGCCCUGCCUCACAUCUUUUCAAUCCACCUUCUACCCUAGCCAUUGCCAGUGGGGUCUAGGCAAUGCCCCCAGCUGCACCUCCAUCUUGCUGACUUACUGCCCCGGGGCUUCUGGAACAUCAAGAAGUAGGGCAACCAUGGUACCCUGCUCAACAUCUACGCUCAGGAAAACUUGAAAAUGCAAGGGAGUUAACAACCUAUGGGGCAAUCCUUAACCAACGGGGGCAGAAAGCAGGUGGAUUUUGUGACCCCAUUUCUCACCAUCAGGCAGACAAUUUUGAAGGACUUUCUAUAUGGUCCUCAGAAGGUCCCUGCAGAAUCCAGCCUCCAUUGUCCAUGGUGAUGAUUAGCUGGACAUGGCACCACUGGUAUUGGCUUUCUUCCUUUCCUCAUGUCCUACCCCCUUGUUACUGUUCCCUGAGGUUGUAUCCAAAAAGCAACUACCUGCGCACAAAUGCUUAUCUCAGGCCGUGCUUUCUGGGGAAACCCCCAGCUAUGGUAGUUCCAUAGGUAACUUUCAAACAGCAGUUCCACCUCUAUUUGUUCUUUAUAAUGGGCUUCUGUUUAACAUUGCUUUCAAAUGAAAAGUUCAAUUGCUAAAAGGAAAUGGAGAGAGAGGAAGACAGGGAGGGAGAAAGGAAAAGAAAAGAAGAAAGGAAGGAAAGAAGAGAAGAGAGUAUUUAAAACCAUUGGUCUACAAGACAAAACCUAUACAUUGACAUCCAAGAUUCUUGAAGUCCUUGAAGUGACUCUUCAUCUUUCCAAGCACCUGCAGAUGCUCGAGAAGGGGCUCAGCCUUCAUAUUAACCCACAUCACAGCUGCUAUUGUUUUCCCAGAAUGUAGUACCAUCCUCCCUGCCAGUUCUUUUUCUGCAUUGAUCCCUCUGCAUACUUGACUCUUAUUCAUCUUUUAUGUUUCAAACCAAAUGUCCCCUUUCCCAUCCUCACCAUACAUCCACUGCCCCCACUUUAGUGGCUCAGGACAAUACUUAUCACCACUAUCAUCCUACUAAGCAGCAUUUACUGGGCUUUUAAAAUGGGCUAGGAGCUCUGCUAAUUGCUUUACUACUAUUAACUGCUUUACUACAGGACUGUUGCACAAAAGCCUUGCAAGAUAGCAUAUAAUUAUGAUACCAAUUGUAUAGGUCCAGAUGGGGAAACUGAGGCUUUGAGAGGCUCAGAAGCUUGGGAUGUUGCAGAGUGUUCCUGCAGGCUUUGCACAAUUGUGUGAUUAUACAUGUAUCCUCUUUCUCAUCGACCUAUGGGCACUGCAGGGGCAGAAACUGAGUUCUAUACAUCUCUGUGAUCUCCUCAAAGCAUAGCCUAGCAUAGAUUCCAGCACGUAGUGGGAGAAAAAAGUACUGGUUUAUAUGAUAAGGAUACACAUCAGCCUAGAGGAAGAAGGGCCCAGUCUCAAUUAGAUCACCCUCCUGCCCCUGCCAAAACUUCCCUCCCUUUCACACCACACUGUCCCACUCCCAAAACUGAGCUUAGAGCCUUCUUGCUGCUUCAAAAGCUCCUGUGCUUCCCUUUUUAUUAGAGUAAUUGUUAGCUAUUCUUGAAGACUUGCUACAACUCAUUUAAUCCUCAAAUAAGCCCACAAGCUUUUGCUGUCACAGCUCGAUCAUAUUGCAUUCUAUCAUAGUCUCUUGCUUUUUCAGAGCACCCUGGAGGGUCUCCAAGACUGGGUCCUAGAAGGCUGUGCCUCUGCCUCCCCCACCUCCUGCCCAGGGCUGGGCACCUAGGAGAAGAACUGUAACAGUGCAACAACAGGCAGUUGGCCUGGCCAUUAGGUGUGGUGGCCUGGUGUUUUCCCCAGCUGGGCCUCGGCCCUGUGGUCAGUCUCAAGGCUGACCUUCACAUCUCAGACCUACUUUUGAAUCUGGCUUCUCCCAGGAGCCCAGGUUUAUAAACAAAAAACAAACAGAACAAAUAAAAACAUUAUCUCAUUGGUGCUUGAGUCAGCUGCUCCAGAUGUCUUGGGAAGUGAAGAGGGGAAGGGUGUUUGCUGCAGAGUCAGACAGAACUCAGCCCAGCCUGCAAUGGGGCUGCUGCUGGGUGCAUGGGGAGUGAGGGCAACUCCUUGGAUUUAGUGUCUGCAGCCAAUGGGGCCACUUUCACUGGCAUCUCUACCCCAACUUGCCCCUACCAGCCAGCCAUGAUAGAUGUUCACAGCCUCCUGGGCACCAGGCUGGCAGCUCUGUAGCUUCAAAGUUGGCACAGGAUAGCUGCUCUCAUAAAUAGAGCUGUUAAAUUAGCUACUUUCUAUCCAUUAUCUCAUUUAAUUUCCACAAAUGACCUAAGAGUUCAGGUUUACAAGGCCCAUUUCACAGAUAAGAAAGUGAAGCCCAGAAAGCUAAAGGAUGUGUCCACAGUCACAAGCAAACAAGUUAAAGAACCUGACUUAAUGCAAGGUCAUCUGCCCCUACUUCUGAGCUUGUCAGUCUACCCCUACUGAGAUGUGACAGCCCCAGAGCCGAGAGCCAGCUUCUCAGUCCUCCAUCCUCUCUGCUGGGGGCAUUUUGAAGGGUGGAAUGGGACAUUAUUAAGGAAAAAAUGUCAGCGUCUGUUUCCCAAACCUUAUUCCCUCUAUUGUUGAGCUACAGCAGAAAUUGCUCUGGCCUGGGAGUCAGGGAGCCUGGAUUCGAGACCUAGACUUUCUUGCUCCAAAAGCUUUCCAUGCACUCAGCAAAGUCACCUCCCUUCUCUGGGAUGCAGCUCCUCUGAUUAUGAGUGAGUGUGUUUGAGAUGAGCCCUGACCCCAUGCAGCCCACACAGCUGUGACUUCCUGUCCCAUAUUAGGUGUUACACAUUUUAGAGCAAUCUUCAAUGCUUUUACCUCUUCCGAACAUUCCACAGACAUGAAACUUUCAUCAACAUGACAGGUUCACGCAGCACCUCCCACACAGCAAAACUCAGAGCAAGGAGAUGUUUGGCAAGGCAGCCUCCUGGCUCUCCCCAGCCAUGUGAAUUUUCCUCCUCCUGAGCAUGUUACAAAGACGCAAGAAACUCCAAGGAGAACUGUACUCCCUUCUCCUAUUUUUCUCAUGUGUUUCAGGAUUUGGCUUUCCCCAGCUUUUCAUUCUCCAGAUGUGAUUCAGAGAAGGAGUUUCAUUAUGUCUUGACAUUUUCCACCCAGUCUGAAAGUCCUGCAUGUGGGCCUAUCCUGAGGCUCUCUUGCUGUUUAUUUAGUCACUAAUUAGUGCUGAUAGAAAUACAAGUGUAGCCUCAAGGUUGCUGCCAAGACCAGCAGCAACCAAUUAUCUCCUGGAGGUAGGAGUGGAUGGGUGGUGAUGAAACAGACUCCAAACUCUGGCGAAGCCCAACAGAGCAAGACCAUAUUGUGGGUGGGGAAGAGGAGGGAUGGGGGCAGAGGGUAGAAGGUGGAGGAAUAUGUGGUGGUGGUCAGGGCACCUUUCAUGGGAAAAGUCUAGCUGGACUUAGAAGUUAGACUUAACGUCAUGAAAAUGAUAACUUCUCCCCUCCCUUCUGUUGGCUGACAUCAUAUGUCCUGACUUUAACCCCAGAUUAAAACACAUUUGAGAAAUGUGGGGCUGUCAUUGUGGGCCAGGCCAGAUGAAUUCAAAAACUCAAUUCAAUCAUUUUCAAAGGUGCCAAAUGAGCACCUUUUCUAGCCAAGACAGUAUUGAGGAUAUAGAAAUAAAUGACAGAUGGCUCCUGGUCUUAAAGCACUGACCUGGUGUAGGAGGAUGGUGAAACAGGUAAAGGAAACUUUGUAAAAAGAGUGGUGACAUUGAAGGAAGGGCAUCUUAGUUCUGCCUGAAGGUGCUAGGGGAAGGCUUCCUGAUGGAGGAGGCAUUUGAGCUGGUACUUGAAAGGUGAGCAGGGACUAAUGGAGAAGGGAAAGCAUUGAAAAGCUUUCUAGACUUUACAGUGCACCACCCUGAGAGGGAGCACAUCAUUACAUUGUAUGCCUCAGGUGCCACUUUUGUCUUGUCCUGGUCCCAUGGCUGCACAAAAGCAUGGAAAGACAAAGUAUCUCAGCUGGAUCAAGAAACUGAAAGCAGAUGCAGGUGAAUGCAGCAUGAUUAGAAAACUCUAGACUGGAUGAGAAGUAAUGCCCAGGCUAGGAAAG